rnacentral:rRNA from 1 species
UCCAGACUCCUACGGGAGGCAGCAGUGGGGGAUAUUGCACAAUGGGGGGAACCCUGAUGCAGCGACGCCGCGUGGGUGAAGGAGCGUUUCGGCGCGUAAAGCCCUCUCGGCAGGGAAGAAGAUGACGGUACCUGACCAAGAAGCACCGGCUAACUCCGUGCCAGCAGCCGCGGUAAUACGGAGGGUGCGAGCGUUAAUCGGAAUUACUGGGCGUAAAGCGCUCGUAGGCGGUAUGUCAAGUCAAGGGUGAAAUCCCCGCGCUCAACGUGGGAACUGCCUUUGAAACUGGCAAACUGGAGUGUGUGAGAGGAUAGUGGAAUUCCAGGUGUAGGAGUGAAAUCCGUAGAUAUCUGGAGGAACAUCAGUGGCGAAGGCGACGAUCUGGCACAUAACUGACGCUGAGGAGCGAAAGCGUGGGCAGCAAACAGGAUUAGAUACCCCCGUAGAC